rnacentral:ncRNA from 1 species
UUUCACUAGGGGCGCUUUGGCUGAGAGGAUUAUAUAUAAUCCGACCCUUGGAACCUGUGGGGGUAAUACCUGCGUAGGGAAGUGGCUUAU